AUGGAUAGAAAUUCAACUUAUGUGCUAAAAAUCAAUUUGCUUGGCAACCCAAAAAAGGCUAGAAAGGAUAUCAAAUGCUUCUGUUUUGAUAAGGUUAUUGAUUCCGACUUAAAAAAUUAUAAGGACUUGGUUGAAUCAAUCAUAGAGCAGUACUCGCCUCGUUAUUUGGAAGUUGCACAUGUUCAGUACUAUGAUGAUUUUCUUAAAAUCUACCCUGAAGUAACAUCUGACCAAGAAUUAGUGUUGAUGUCUGAGAAACACUCUAAGACAAAGGUUGUGCACAUGUUUGUUGCAUAUUGUGAUCCAUCGGAACCAUAUGAGCCUAUCACAGAGUGGCAUAGUGAUGUGCAUAGCCAACCUAACAACAUAGAACAAGAUGAUGAUGAUUAUCUUCGCAACCCAGUACCUGAGAAGGAGCAUGUUGGUGUUGAUGAGGAAAAUAUUUAUUUAGAGGAUGAACCUGUGCCACAUGACAGCCCUGCAAUGGGCACACGAAGCAAAAAAAUUAAUCCUGCCAGCCCUGCAAUGAGCACACGAAGCAAAAGGAGACUUAGCUUGUGA
rnacentral:rRNA from 1 species